rnacentral:piRNA from 1 species
CUGGAUUCAGGGAUGAAGGAAGC